AUAUUGGACAAUGGGGGCAACCCUGAUCCAGCCAUGCCGCGUGUGUGAAGAAGGUCUUCGGAUUGUAAAGCACUUUAAGUUGGGAGGAAGGGCUUUAGGCUAAUACCCUGAAGUAUUUACGUUACCAUCAGAAUAAGCACUGGCUAACUCUGUCCCCGCAGCCGCGGUAAUAUAGAGGGUGCAAGCGUUAAACGGAAUUACCAGGCGUAAAGCGCGGGUAGGUGGUUCAGUAAGAUGGGUGUGAAAUCCCCGGGCUUAACCUGGGAACUGCUUUCAUAACUGCUGGGCUAGAGUACGGUAGAGGGUAGUGGAAUUUCCUGUGUAGCGGUGAAAUGCGUAGAUAUAGGAAGGAACACCAGUGGCGAAGGCGACUACCUGGACUGAUACUGACACUGAGGUGCGAAAGCGUGGGGAGCAAAC
rnacentral:rRNA from 1 species